UACAGAGGGUGCGAGCGUUGUCCGGAAUCACUGGGCGUAAAGGGCGCGUAGGCGGCUUGAUAAGCGUGCGGUGAAAGCCCGGGGCUCAACCCCGGGUCGGCCGUGCGAACUGUCGAGCUGGAGCACUGUAGAGGCAGGUGGAAUUCCGGGUGUAGCGGUGGAAUGCGUAGAGAUCCGGAAGAACACCGGUGGCGAAGGCGGUCUGCUGGGCCAAGACUGACGCUGAGGCGCGACAGCGUGGGGAGCAAACAGG
rnacentral:rRNA from 1 species